UGGGGAAUCUUGGACAAUGGGCGCAAGCCUGAUCCAGCCAUGCCGCGUGCGGGAAGAAGGCCUUCGGGUUGUAAACCGCUUUUGUCAGGGAAGAAACGCUCUGGGCUAAUACCCUGGGGUAAUGACGGUACCUGAAGAAUAAGCACCGGCUAACUACGUGCCAGCAGCCGCGGUAAUACGUAGGGUGCAAGCGUUAAUCGGAAUUACUGGGCGUAAAGCGUGCGCAGGCGGUUAUGCAAGACAGAUGUGAAGUCCCCGGGCUCAACCUGGGAACUGCAUUUGUGACUGUAUAGCUAGAGUACGGUAGAGGGGGAUGGAAUUCCGCGUGUAGCAGUGAAAUGCGUAGAUAUGCGGAGGAACACCGAUGGCGAAGGCAAUCCCCUGGACCUGUACUGACGCUCAUGCACGAAAGCGUGGGGAGCAAACAGGAUUAGAUACCCUAGUAGUCCCUGAGCGGGCUGGCAAGGCGCAU
rnacentral:rRNA from 1 species